GAGUUUGAUCAUGGCUCAGAUUGAACGCUGGCGGCAUGCCUUACACAUGCAAGUCGAACGGCAGCAUGAUCUAGCUUGCUAGAUUGAUGGCGAGUGGCGAACGGGUGAGUAAUACAUCGGAACGUGCCCUGUAGUGGGGAGUAACUAGUCGAAGAUUAGCUAAUACCGCAUACGACCUGAGGGUGAAAGUAGGGGGACCGCAAGGCCUCAUGCUAUAGGAGCGGCCGAUGUCUGAUUAGCUAGUUGGUGGGGUAAAGGGCCCACCAAGGCGACGAUCAGUAGCUGGUCUGAGAGGACGAUCAGCCACACUGGGGACUGAGACACGGCCCAGACUCCUACGGGAGGCAGCAGUGGGGAAUUUUGGACAAUGGGCGAAAGCCUGAUCCAGCAAUGCCGCGUGUGUGAAGAAGGCCU
rnacentral:rRNA from 1 species